GUCACAAGGUUACUGUUUCAGUAAGAAUCAUUAAGCUACUGUAAAAGACGUGACUCUUACUCAGAGACGUGUUUCACAUCAGGUCAAAAAUGUUCUUGUAGCUUGUAAUAUAGGCAGGAUUUUGAUGGUUAUUUGUUGUUCCCUGUAAUUAAAAAAACAACAAGAUUGAAACAGAAUUUCUUCUACAAACAGGACAUUUAUCUGCUGGUGUUUGGCAUCAGGAUGGUGCAGAAGUCAGUGGUGGUGAGUUUGGCGUUGCUGCUAAUUGCUUCCCUUGCUACAUUUUUAGGUGUGUUUUUUGGAUAUAGGGGUAAACCUUCAGCUGUCAACACUGAGAGAUCCUACACACACGCGGCCAUAGCAGCAGACGCUGGGCCGUGCUCGGAAGUUGGCAGAGACAUUCUCCUAAAGGGAGGUUCUGCUGUAGAUGCAGCAAUUGCUGGACUGUUGUGUGCAGGUUUGAUGAAUGCUCACAGUAUGGGUAUUGGAGGAGGCCUGUUCCUUACCAUCUACAACGCUACAACAGGAAAAGUGGAAACGAUUGAUGCGCGUGAGACAGCACCAUCUAACUCCUCUCGGGACAUGUUCGGGAACAGCACUGAUCUUUCACGGAAGGGCGGCCUUUCUAUUGCUGUUCCUGGAGAAAUUCGAGGAUAUGAACUGGCUUAUCAGCGUCAUGGGAAACUGGCCUGGAAAGAUCUAUUCACACCAAGCAUCGAACUUGCAAAGAAGGGAUUUCCUGUGGGUAAAGCUCUUGGUGGAGCUAUUUACAGCAAGAGAAACAUGAUCCGGAAUGACAAAACUUUAUGUUCUGUGUUCUGUAACACAAACGGAGAUAUCCUAAAGGAAAAUGACACAAUCACCUUCCUUAAGUUGGCGGAUACGUAUCAGCAGAUUGCAGAGAAAGGGGCAGAUGCUUUUUACAAUGGCUCGAUCGCAGAAAAUCUUGUAACAGACAUCAGGAAUGCAGGUGGUAUCAUAACUAUGGAAGAUUUAUUGAAUUACACUCCACUAUUGAAUGAAAAUCCUUUGAAAGUACAACUGAGGGAAUUUACAAUGUUUGUGCCAAAUGCUCCAUCCAGUGGCCCCAUUCUCACCCUCAUCCUCAACAUACUGAGCGGAUAUAACUUUAAAUCAGACAGCGUUUCCAACACUCAGGAGAAAAUACUCACAUAUCAUCGUAUAGUGGAAGCUUUCAAAUUUGCAUAUGCUAAACGCAGUGUUUUGGGAGACCCCAAAUUUCUUAACAUCAGUGAUUUUAUACAGAACAUCACAACUAAAAGCUUUGCUGAUUCGAUUCGGCAGAAAAUCACAGAUAUCACGACACAUAAUGAAAGUUAUUACAAACCUGAAUAUUUUCUUCCGGAAAAUCAUGGAACUUCUCAUAUUUCUGUAGUGGAUGCAGAUGGAAAUGCAGUUGCUGCCACCAGCACCAUUAAUCAAUUUUUUGGCUCCAUGGUCAUGUCCCCAUCAACUGGAGUGUUGCUGAAUAAUGAGAUGGACGAUUUCAGUUCUCCUCUCAUAACUAAUGGAUUCGGUGUUCCACCUUCACCUAAUAACUUCAUCGUACCACAUAAGCGUCCCAUGUCGUCUAUGUGUCCUGCUAUUCUGUUUGAUAAAAAUAAUAAAGUUAAACUGGUGGUUGGUGGCUCAGGAGGGACAAAAAUAACAACAGCUGUUGCUUUGGUCAUUUUAAAUUCACUGUUCUUCAACUACGAUCUGAAGAAAGCUGUUUCUGAUCCCCGAAUUCAUCAUCAGCUCAGUCCAGACUUCAUUAUAUUAGAGCCAGACUUUGAUACGAGAGCACUCGCAGGAACUGGUCCAUCACCACCCGCUCUAUCACUUCCUUUAAACUCUGGCUUGAGCCAACAGCGGGUGAUCCGGAGAAGCUCCUUGAACUGGGAUCGUGAGUUCAGCUCCGGGGAAUACCGGCAGUGAUGGAAGUCGAUGGCCGCAUUUAUGGGGGAUUGGCUGCAGCGAGUGAGGAUCUCCUGACGCACCCACUCGUAGUCGAGGGCCUUCUCCUCCUCCAGCUUCUCCUGUGAGCAGAGGGGCUAGGAGGUUUGCCCACUCAACCCUACGCCAGCCUUCCCGGUCUGCGGUGGGCUCGAAUGCCGUAAUAGAGGGACUUAUUAAGAAGAAUCACCUGAUUGAGAUGUUGACAUCAACGGGCGCCGUCGUUCAGGCGAUCCUGCAAGAGGGAAACCGUCUAUACGCCGAAUCCGAUCCUCGAAAGGGAGGAUACUCUGCAGGA